rnacentral:rRNA from 1 species
GUCCACGCCGUAAACGAUGGGCACUAGGUGUGAGGGGUAUUGACCCCCUUCGUGCCGAAGCUAACGCACUAAGUGCCCCGCCUGGGGAGUACGGCCGCAAGGCUAAAACUCAAAGGAAUUGACGGGGGCCCGCACAAGCAGCGGAGCGUGUGGUUUAAUUCGACGCAACGCGAAGAACCUUACCAAGGCUUGACAUGCUGGUGGUACCAAUCCGAAAGGUGCGGGACCCUUCGGGGAGCCAGUGCAGGUGAUGCAUGGCUGUCGU